UGCUCCCGCGAACUGCGGCGGGGGCGGCCGGGCCACCGGAGGGAAGCGGGUGUGGCCCGGGCAGCGGGGACUGGGACAGACCUCGAAGGGAGGAAGCGGGGAAGGAAGGUUGUCCUGCCGGGAUGGGGGCUCCCGGGGUUCCGGAGGCUAGCAAUGGAACUGCAAGGCUCUGCAGGGCAGGGAGUUGACCAGAACCAACGUGGAAUGACCGUAACUUGCUUCAGACUCCAUUUCUAGACCAAUCCUGAUUUCUAGAUCAUAGCAUCUUAUGCUUUGUCUUGUCUCUGGAUUAUAAGUUCUGUAGGUCAGAAGUCUGGGUGGGCUCAGCUGGGUUCUAUGCUUAGGAUCUCAGAAGGCCAAAAACAAGGUGUCAGCUGGGCUGGCCUCUUCUCUGGUGGCUUUGGAUAAGAAUCUGCAUCCAGUCCCAUUCAGAUUGUUGACAGAAUUCAGUUCCUUGCAGUUGUAAGAGUAGUUCUCUGUUUUCUCCUGGCUGUCUGCUGCGGGUCACUGGAGGCCUCUCCCCAUUUUUUACACAUGGCCCCCUCCAUCUUCAAAGCCCGUCACAUUGUGUAAAAUCUUUCUCAGGCUUUGUUUCUAAUCUCUCUGACUUCCCUUCUGCCACCAACCUGAGAAACGUGUCUGCCUUUAAAAGCUAAUGAAUUUAGAUAAUCUCUUUGUCUUAAAGUUCAUAGACUGCCUAACAAGAAUUAAUCACAUGAGUGAUAGCUCAUCAUAUUUACAGGUUCCAGGGAUUAAAAGGGACAUCUUUGAGGAAAUAUUUUAGAAAUCUUGCCUGAUACAGGGCUCAAUAAAUAAUAGUUUCUUUCCAUCUUACACUUCAACAAACAUUCCUUGAUUACCUACUGUAAUCCAAUAAGUAAGUCAAAGAGGUGAAUAAAACAUUGUGCUUUAGGUUAAGGAGUUCACAGUUUAAUGGAGGAAGCUGAUAUUGAAACAUAAUUUUAAUGUAAUAUAAAAGCUAAUACUUACACAGAAUUUAUUAAGUAUCCAUUCCUGUUAUAAGCACUGUUUGUAUAUAUUACCCUACAGGGUAAGGGAAGGAAGAUAGAUAAAAAGAAUGUAGGAUGUGCUGUUGAAGCACAGAAGAAUGUACUUUGGGGUGCUGAAGGAAGGGGCAGAUAUGAGGGCCUCUCAGGGAAGUCUCUGAGAAGGUAAUGAUACAUGCACUCAUCAUCAUUAAGGAAGAGUAGGAACUGGCUAGGCAUAAACAUGAUGUAUGUGUAAAGGUGGGGGUGAAAUUUUAUUUGUAUAAAGGCAGAAAGGAACAGUUAUAGUAGUAUCAGAACACAAAGCAACAAGAAAGUCAUAACAGGACACAGAGCUGGAGAAAUAGUAACCUAAUCAUGGAAAGUCUAUACAAAUUAGUGAACAUGUUUAUUAUAAAAAUGAGGAUGAUUGAAGGAUUUUAUAAAGUGUAACAAAGAAUUAUUCGAAAUAGCUCAGAUACCCCUAGGUAAAAUGUAAAGAAUGCUUUAUUUUCAAAACUUUUCUCUCAUCCCAAAGCGUUUAUCCUAUGACUUACUCUUGCUAGUAGCAAACAAUUAAUCCUUGGCAUAAACUGAGAAUUAAGAUGUUAAUAAGGCUUAAAAUAUGACCUAUCUCAUUUUAAAAGAAAAUUCUCAGAGACUGAAAAGUCAUCAGUGCAAUGGCAAGCUGUUGAAACCUUCAGAUUUUAAAACUGGAAUGAGCAAUGCCUUUUUCUGUUUGGAAAUCUAGCUUGGAUGGCAGCUGGAGUUGUAGAGAGAAGAAAACGGGAUGAUGAGGAAUGUUCUGCUAAUUUUUCCCUAUGCUCAUCUGUCCAUUUUAGUAGCAUCUUGGAGUACUCAUAUUCUACUGGCUUGCCCUCAUUAUGGUUCAGUCAAGUAGUCUGGCUAGGCUAAAUGACCCCAUAGUGUCUUGAGAACUUA